rnacentral:tRNA from 1 species
GGGCGGGUGGUGGAAUUGGCAGACACGCUAGACUUAGGAUCUAGUGGGCAUAGCCCGUGGGGGUUCGAGUCCCCCCUCGCCCACCA